rnacentral:rRNA from 1 species
ACCUUGCCCGAAAGGGCUGGGUAACCCGAUGAAAAUCCUUCNUGAUUGGGAUANGGACUUGCAAUUAUUUCCCUUGAACGAGGAAUUCC